AAUCAGCGCCUCCCAGAGUUCCUUAUCUCUUCUUUUUGCGACCGUUCAUCUCCUGCUACAAAUUUAGAUCUACUCUUUUCCUUACUCCCAUCACCUUUCUCUUGACCGGAUCCGUGUGGAUCUGUUCAAGAUCUACACGACGAUGGUGGUUUUGUUCGGUUCUUGCAUAGAUCUGAAGCUUGGAGGCUCAGAUCUUCAUUACAGAGGUGUGCCCUUCAUGUUCGUCUUGCUUUUGGAAUCUGUUUCGUAGAAAGUCGUUUGGUCUAGCCUUUGCCAAGGCUCUUGAGGUAUUGUUUUGCAGGUACGGUGGAUAAUCGAUGAGUGCAACACAGACCCACCAAUAGAUCCAGGCGUUGUUAUUUUGUUGAAAGUCAUGGAUACUUCAGUCUCAGACCUCUCGUGUUUGUACGAAGCAUUAUGUAUUCUUCCGGCUAGAUACAUAUGUUGCAGAUCUCGGAUGUUGUAAAUUUAGUAUAAGAUGUGAAGCUGAGAGGGAGAAAGUAUGUGGAUGUAGAAGAUUUCAGGAUGGAUUACCUCAAUACGUUUAAUCGUUUGAGGUGGUUAGUCCUGAGCGAUCUUGUCAUCCGACCUUUGCCAUGACAGGUGCGCUUGCAUGGCAGGUCAACCAAAAUCUUAAUAAAAAAAGUUUUAUUGGUUUUGGGAGAGAUCGCACGGGAGUUGCCCGGGAUCUCUCCCUCGUGUGGUGUGUGCUCUCCUCCUUUUCGUGUUAUGCCUUUUAUUAUUACCUAUCUGUCGCUCGACUCCAUAUUACGACACUGGCCGGGAUGGAUUCAUCAGCGGAUUCGCUCCCACUCCAAUUGAAUGAGAAAAAGCUAAGUGGAGUUUCUCAAUAAUUAUAUUGCGGAAGGUAAACUGGGGGGUUUUGUUGUGUUCAAUUUUUUCGGUUUAUAAUUAUUCUUGCAUAAGCUUCUAUACGGUUCGUAGUAUAAAACAAUCAAUUCUCACACUGUAGUGUGUAUUAUUCGUUAAAUCUAUGCACUGUAUUAAAAUAUCAUCUGUUUGCGGCUUCCCUUAACCCUAAUUAAAUAUAUUGCUUGGUGUUUUUGAGUUGUGAACUCGAACUCUAUUAUUUUGUUGUCUAAUUUAUUAUAGUUUGAGCUGGCAAAAUUUGGCGAGCUAUCAUCCAGAUAAGAUGGUUCCUUGUACAAUCAAUAUAUGUAACAUCGCUGUAUAUAUUUAUAUGUAAGAAGUCCAGCUACGGUUGUCAACAUUUGUAAUGCAGAAUUAGGUAAAUUUUGAAGAACAUAUUGUCGGGAAUACUACCAUUUUUAAUGCUCACUCGGAUCUUUCGGCACUGUUGGAGCCCGACAAUCAACGAUGAAGAUGCCAUCUUGAUUUCGAAAGUCUCGAAGAACUUCAGUGAUUUUAAUGAAGAAACGUCGAAGAUAUAUCAUGGGUUUAGGAUGAUUCUGAUUUAGUCUGCUUCAAUUAGUAAGGUGAAAGAUAACUUCGGUCCUUUUGAGCAAAGAUUGAUUGAUUUAUGAUUUUCAGCUACAUAAUAUUUUCAUAUCAUGCCUUUUUUUAGUAGUGUGAAUGUUUUAAAGUUAUUAUUUUACAACUCAUGGAUUCUGCGGCUUUAGUAUUUCGGAUGUUUUCACUCAAAAUGUUGAAGUUUACCAUCAUGGUAGCGAGAUUUGUUCAAAAUUUAUUCCAUUUCGAGAUCUCGAGUGUUUUGAAGUUGACUUUUUGAAAUGUUACCACUUCAGCUGAUAUUUAGUUCAUAUGAUUUUUCUCGAAUGGUCGAUAGUUUUCUCCGACUUUUUUUUUAGAUACAGGAAGUAGUUUGAUUUAAUUACGUCGCAAAUGACUUAAAUUUAGAGAAACUUGGCAUGUGUUAUCGCCCUAAGUGGGCAGAUCAAUAUUCAUGGUUUGUUUUUUCUUGCAGGUAAUGCCUUUAAAAGUAAGGGUUUUUUUUUCUUUUAACGUUUUUUGACUUUUUAAAUUUUAAAUGUCAAGUGAAGGCCAUUUUUUGAAUAAAUUGUUAGAAUCUUGGCACAGCUAAGGCAGCCAUCCGUAAAUUCGUGCUUAGUGAAUGUAAUUUUAUUUGCAUUUAUUUGCAUAAAAUGAUGUGUUAAUGUUUUGGUAUAUAUUUGUUCGAAAAAUUGUUACGUCAGCUGAAAAUCUCUUUUUUGAACAGUCUUUUCCAUUAAUUUAUUAAAAAGCAAAACUAUUUCUAUUUAUUUUCAAAAUUUAACGCUUUUUAAAUGUAAACUUAUUAUGAAAAUAGAUAUUUAGUUCUUCUGUAAUUAACCGUAAAAGCAUAAACUGUAAUAAUUUUUAUUGAAGAAAAUAAGUGAUUAUCCCUUUGUUAUAAAGGAAUAUUAUUUUUCAAAUUGUUUUUAGUUAAAAAAUAUACUUUUGAAUUUACAUUGGAACUGAAAGAUAAUAUCUUUUCUUCAGUUCUUGGAUCUUAUUUAGAAUGUUGUUGAAUAAAUUUAUAACAAUGUUUGUAUACUCAUGAUGAAAGAAAAUAAUGGUAUAGUAAAACCGGGAACUGCAAUUAUUAAUUUUCUGAUUUGAAAAUUUUAGGAAUGUGCAGCACCAAAAACUUGGAUUAUAAUGUAAUUUUAAAUAUUUCUAUUUGUAUUAACAUUAUUUAAUUUGAAAUUACCAACAUGUAGUAACUGGGCUGUAAUUUGAAAAUUAUUGACGAUAUAUCCUUUUGGAAUAUUAUAUUUUGUAUAUUUAAAGCGAAUAUUUGUAAAUUAUAUUUGCUUAAAACUGAUAUUAUAAUAAUUUAAUAUUAUUGAAAAUGCCCUGUUGAAACGUUUUCUUUGUAUAUCCUGUAAAAUGCCCUGCAUGUUUGUAUCAGUAUUUAUGUAGAUACUAUUAUGUUUCUUUUUCUCUGUUAAUAUGUCUUUGCGAAUUGUUCCGUAUAAAUUCCCGUUUACAGUUUAUUAUUCCUAUAUAUGAACUGGAUUUCAUAAGUUAUUGAAGUUUAAAAAAAGUGAUGUUUAUAAGCUAAUCUUUGAUGUUUUAUUUUGUUAAUUUUAUGUUCCGUUACUUGAUACUUUUUAUGGAUGGUCGUUAUUUGUUACAUG